GAAGAAAACCAAAAAUUCCAGAAAAAAAAAGCCCAAAAGGGCUCGAAGCUGCGUCUCAAAUGUUUGAGGCUUUUCCUUAACAUGGUUAAACAAGUAUCUCAAAAAAUCUUAUGCCAAGAAAUGUAUAAAUAUUUUUUGGCAUAUGGGAUUCAAGAAGAAAAAUAAGAACUAACAGCAUUGUGAGGAUUGGAAGUUUCACACUUUGACAUUCUCAUCUAAUUAUGAUUGAUUUGAUUAAUUUAUUUUAUUACAUUGAUUUUUUCUCCUCCUUGUUUUGUGCCGCCCAAGCCUAGUAACACUAGUUAUUUAUAUCACUUUUUCUUUGUUUUACAGCUCUUUUCUCUGUUCAUUCACUCCUCUAGCAGCGCCUGUUCUCCUCUUGUUCAUUCACUCAUCUUUUCUAUGGGAUUUCACUAGUUGUGUCAUCCAUUUGCUAAAGCCUUUACUUUUGUUUUUCCAUCCACUUUGCUGGUUGUUUUAACCUCCUAAAUCAGCCCUAUUUUCUGCCUUAAACUCAUCUUUAAGCCGUCCCUCUCAGCCCUCUCUACUAUCCAUUGUUGCCCCCUCUCCUUUGUUCGUAGUGGUACCGAUCCCUCCUUGUGCUGCCCAAAUCAGCCCUUUAUGCCGUCGCUAAUGGUGUUGCCGCCUCCUUAGGACACCAUCGUUUUUGUGGACUAUCGUUUCUUUUCAGUUUCCAUCCCUAUAGCAGUAAUCCCUAAAUAUAGGUGGGUCGGUGUAGCGAAGGACUCAGUGGUGGCCGCACGACUUCUUUUACAUUGUUUAUUGCCUAGUCAUGAUUUUACUUUUAUUUGGGAAUAUUUUUCUGUAAUUAUGGCCUUUACGAAAUUUGGUUUAAAUUUGGAUUUAUACAGUUUUAUGAUUUAAAUAUGCUAGUGUUAGGUAAAACUCUGGUUUUCAAAUGAAAUUGAUGUUUUAUCAAAA